rnacentral:rRNA from 1 species
CNACCUGCCCUUCACCACGGAAUAAUCCAGUGAAAAUUGGUCUAAUACCGUAUGAGGUCAUACGAUGGCNUCAGAAUAUGACGAAAGGUUUGGCGGUGAAGGAUGGGGAUGCGUCUGAUUAGCUUGUUGGUGAGGUAACGGCUCACCAAAGCGACGAUCAGUAGGGGUUCUGAGAGGAAGGUCCCCCACAUUGGAACUGAGACACGGUCCAAACUCCUACGGGAGGCAGCAGUGAGGAAUAUUGGUCAAUGGGCGAGAGCCUGAACCAGCCAAGUAGCGUGCAGGAUGACGGCCCUAUGGGUUGUAAACUGCUUUUAUAUGGGGAUAAAGUGAGCUACGUGUAGUUUAUUGCAGGUACCAUAUGAAUAAGGACCGGCUAAUUCCGUGCCAGCAGCCGCGGUAAUACGGAAGGUCCAGGCGUUAUCCGGAUUUAUUGGGUUUAAAGGGAGCGUAGGCCGCCCCUUAAGCGUGUUGUGAAAUGCCGCGGCUCAACCGUGGCACUGCAGCGCGAACUGGGGGGCUUGAGUGCACGCAACGCAGGCGGAAUUCGUGGUGUAGCGGUGAAAUGCUUANAUAUCACGAAGAACUCCGAUUG